GACGAACGCUGGCGGCGUGCUUAACACAUGCAAGUCGAACGGUAAGGCCCUUCGGGGUACACGAGUGGCGAACGGGUGAGUAACACGUGGGUGAUCUGCCCUGCACUUCGGGAUAAGCCUGGGAAACUGGGUCUAAUACCGGAUAGGACCCUGGGAUGCAUGUCCUGGGGUGGAAAGCUUUUGCGGUGUGGGAUGGGCCCGCGGCCUAUCAGCUUGUUGGUGGGGUGAUGGCCUACCAAGGCGACGACGGGUAGCCGGCCUGAGAUGGUGACCGGCCACACUGGGACUGUGAUACGGCCCAGACUCCUACGGGAGGCAGCAGUGGGGAAUAUUGCACAAUGGGCGCAAGCCUGAUGCAGCGACGCCGCGUGAGGGAUGACGGCCUUCGGGUUGUAAACCUCUUUCGGCACCGACGAAGCGCAAGUGACGGUAGGUGCAGAAGAAGGACCGGCCAACUACGUGCCAGCAGCCGCGGUAA
rnacentral:rRNA from 1 species